GACGCAGCUAACGCAUUAAGUUCCCCGCCUGGGGAGUACGGCCGCAAGGCUAAAACUCAAAGGAAUUGACGGGGACCCGCACAAGCGGCGGAGCAUGCGGAUUAAUUCGAUGCAACGCGAAGAACCUUACCAAGGCUUGACAUACACCAGAACACCGUAGAAAUACGGGACUCUUUGGACACUGGUGAACAGGUGGUGCAUGGUUGUCGUCAGCUCGUGUCGUGAGAUGUUGGGUUAAGUCCCGCAACGAGCGCAACCCUCGUUCUGUGUUGCCAGCACGUUAUGGUGGGAACUCAUGGGAUACUGCCGGGGUCAACUCGGAGGAAGGUGGGGAUGACGUCAAAUCAUCAUGCCCCUUAUGUCUUGGGCUUCACGCAUGCUACAAUGGCCGGUACAAAGGGCUGCAAUACCGUGAGGUGGAGCGAAUCCCAAAAAGCCGGUCCCAGUUCGGAUUGAGGUUGAACUCGACCUUCAUGAAGUUGAUCCCCCACAAAUGACGA
rnacentral:rRNA from 1 species